UAUAAAACCAAACCUUUUCUAGUUUCAACGUGGUACAGGCCACCUAAUUCACCCAUUGACUUGCUAACAAAAUUCGAAAACAUUCUACGGCUUAUUGAUACGGAAGAGAAAGAGAGCAUUAUCCUGGGUGAUAUAAAUUGUGAUCUAUUACACAAAAAUCUAGAUCAUAUGACGAAAGAACUCAAUUUCAUUACUAAUUUAUAUCAAUACAAACAAUUGAUAGACGAACCUACAACCUACAAGGGAAACUAUGAAUUCGGUAUCUUUAAUUGACCAUUUCUAUACCAAUAAAAAGGAAAAUAUUAUAUUAGCAGGAGUCUCCAAAAUAACGAUUAGUGACCAUUAUUUAAUAUAUGGCAUUUUGUCAUUCCCAUCGUUAAAAGGAGAGGAACAUAUUUUAGAGUUCCGUGAUUUCAAAAAUUUCAAUGAAGAUAAUUUCCUACGCGAUAUAGCAUCGUCCGAAAACCAUAAUUUGGAUUCAUACACGGAUUCCAACCGAAUGUGGUAUAUUUGGAAAAAUAAAUUUACUGAAAUUAUUGAUAAACAUGCACCACUUAAAACCCGUAAAAUUGGUAAGAAGCGUACCCCUUGGAUUACGAAACAAGUACUUCAUAGUAAGCGAAAUAAGAACUUAUUAAAGAAAAAGGCCUUGAAAUCUAAAAAUUAAAAUGACUGGCAAAUCUUCAAAUCAGCUAGAAAUUCUUAUAACAAAUUAAUUAAGUCGUCCAUUCGCCAUCAUUAUAGUGUUGAGAUUAGGGAUAAUCAAGGAAAUACUAAGAACAUGUGGAAAACUAUUAAUAACUUGAUUCAUAAAUCAAAAAAUCUCAAAAUAUAACUGAGAUCCGUAACGAGAAUGGUGAAAUGGUUAAUAUUCCAGGCAUACCUAAUGCAUUUAAUAAUCAUUUCACUGAUCUUGGUUUCGUUCUUUCCCAAAACAUCAAGUUGCUCUAUUCCACCAGAGAGUUAUAUCAGUGAAUCAAUGCAGGAAUUUAUUUUCUGUGAAAUAACUGAACAGGAAGUUUGCCAGUUAUUAUCAUCAUUAUCAUCUACUAAGGCAUCGGGCCUAGAUGGAUUACCAGCAAAACUUAUUAAACUGGCCUCACCUUACAUUGCUAAAUCGCUGACAACAAUAUUUAAUAGGUCUAUAUCCACCGGCAUAUUUCCAUGUGAGUGGAAAAAUGCAAGAGUCACCCCAAUUUACAAAAGUGGCCCUAAAUCUAAUAUGGAUAAUUAUCGACCUAUAUCUAUUAUUUCGGUAAUUGCCAAAACAAUGGAGAAACUCGUACAUAACCAGGUCUAUUCCUAUUUACAACGGGCAAACAUACUAACUAAUGCACAACAUGGCUUUAGACCUCUCCACUCCACUGUUACUGCAUUGUUAAAAAUGACAAACCAUUGGUAUCAAAAUAUGGAUGAAGGGUUAAUCAAUGGAGUUGUCUUUUUAGAUCUAAAAAAGCAUUUGAUACCGUUGACCAUGGUAUUUUAUUAAAAAAAAUAUAUUUGUAUGGAGUGAGAGGAAAGGCGCAUGACUGGUUUAGGUCCUAUCUGUCUAAUCGUACCCAGUAUUGUCAAGUUAAUGGCAAACUGUCUGAACCACGAACAAUAAUUACUGGUAUUCCGCAGGGCUCAAUUCUUGGACCCUUACUCUUUCUUGUUUACAUAAAUGACUUGCCAAAUUGCUUAAAAAGUGCGGAUUGUGACAUGUUUGCUAAUGAUACUCAAUUAGGAACGGCAAAUAAGGAUGUCAAAGUAAUUUUUGAAACGUUAAAUGAUGACCUAGCAAAUAUUUCAGUUUGGAUGGCGGCCAACAAGCUGAGCCUGAACAAAAGCAAAACUGAAUAUAUGUUUAUUGGAUCACAUCAAAAACUUAAACAGUGUAACUCCGAAUUGCAAAUAAAAAUUGGAGAUACGCCUAUUCAACGAGUAACCGUUACUAAAUCACUGGGUAUGAUGGUAGAUGAGACCUUAACCUGGCAUUCUCAAACAGAUCUAAUUACAAAGAAAGUGAACAAGGGUCUUUACGUCCUUAGACGAUUAAGAGAUUUUGUUGAUGUAAGGACUCUAGUAACAGUUUACAAAACUUUAAUUCAACCACACUUUGAUUACUGCUCGCAAGUAUGGGGUUGUCUUGGAAUUACCCUUCAAAACCAGUUGCAACGUUUACAAAAUAGAGCAGCACGUAUCAUUACAAAGCGUGGGUAUGAAUUUAGAUCAGCCGAUAUACUUAAAGAAUUAGAUUUACCUAAUUUAAGUCUCAGAAGAAAUAAUCAAUUAUGUACUACUAUGUAUCAGGUAAAUAAUAAUAUGGUGCCUGAUUACCUAAUUGAUUUAUUCACGAAAACCAGUACACUUCAUAAUCAUCAAACUAGGCAGGCUGAAUUUAACUUUGCACUCCCGAGGCCAAGUACCAACUUUUGUAAAAAAUCAUUCUCGUACAGAGGAGCUGUAGCUUGGAAUGAUUUAUUACCUAAUAUAAAAAAUAUGGGUUCAUUGUCAACCUUCAAAAGGGCUCUAGUGUCAAAUAGUCGUAAUAAUUCUUGAUAAUCAAUUUAUCUUUUUUCUUUUUCUCUUCGAUUUUAUUGUAUUAUAUUGUAUUUAUAUUUGUAUUUGUAUUUAUAUUUAUUUUUUUGUAUUUAUAUUGUAUUAUAUUGUAUUUUAUUGUAUUUUAUUUAUUUUUACUUUUAUUUAUUCAAGAUCUUGGGCACAGUUUUUCUCAUCCGGACCUCGCAGCCAGUAAAUAACAUAUAUAGGCUCGGGCCGUUUUCAAGACCUUGGGCACAGUUUUUCUCAUCCGGACCUCGCAGCCGGUAAAUAACAUAUAUAUAUCAUGGUUCAAUUGUAUUUUCUUUAUGGCAUGCAUGCACCUUUGGUAGUAGAUACAGACUACAUUAUAUGGGCAGACAUACAUGUAGGACGUAUAUUUGACAGUCCAAAUUCAACUUUCAAUUGACUGAAAAUGCAUCGAAUUACGAGGGGUUUUAUUGUUUUCAUAAUUUAUUCACCCAUUUAUUAUAAUGUAGG
rnacentral:lncRNA from 1 species